AUGGUCAUGGAGGACCUCGCCGCUUCGAUCAUGUCGAUCUCGCGCAGCGCGCCGCGCUACCUCUUCUUCGACGUCCCCGCCUGGGAGGACUACUGCCUCCACGAAGACAUCAGCGGCGGCUUCGAGCUCGCCGCGGCUGGUGCCAAGAGCGUCGGCGAUGGCAGUGACAGCACCGAGCCGCGCGCGUGCGCCAGGCAGCUGCUCCCUCCGAAGCUGCCGCCGCGGCUGCAGCAUCCAGCUGACUGGUCCGCCGCGUCCUCCGCCGCCACUUCGCCGACACCACAGGCGCAAAAUUACGAGCUAAAGAAGGGAGUUGAUCCAUUCCAAAGGGAGGAGUUAACUGUUCCUCCUUUUUUGACAUCAGGAGUCAACAACUGUUGCUAA
rnacentral:rRNA from 1 species